AUGCCAAUAUCCAAUCCCAAAGAAAGGUAUAUGUCUCCAACUAGUGUUGUUUCUAGAUGUUGUUUCCUUAGAUUGAAGCACGACUCGUUCUUUAGUUCAAGAGUUCAAUAUUUUUGUUGUAGGGAUCCAGGUGAGGCCUCACCAGAUCUACCUACUGUCAUCAAUGAUGAUGAACUCCAUCAAAAUAUACUACUUUUUCCUCUGCAGAAUUCUCCUUUUGUGAAUCAACUUUGGCCUGAUAGCCUUAUCAAACCCAUUGGAUUUUCCUUGCCCUUUUUUUGGGAAGCAAUGGGAGAAAGAAUUUGUUCCAGAAUAUAG
rnacentral:rRNA from 1 species